rnacentral:lncRNA from 1 species
CCCAGGUCUCAGUGGAGGCUCUGAGAAGAGGCCACUGGCCUGGGCACCAGGAGCAUGCAGGGACCCACACUGCACUCCUACAAAAAAUAACCAGAAAUAGUGAGGACCAGAAACAGUGUCGGUUCCUGUGCUGUGGGAAGUAACAUGAGGAGAGUAGUGAGUCCAGGAGCAACUGCACAGAAAUUCCACAGUGAGCAGAGCAUCUCGGGAGACAAGAAGGC